UCGAGGAUCUUUCACAAUGCCCGAAAGGGUGAUGAUGCGACGCCGCGUGGAGGAUGAAGGCCUUCGGGUUGUAAACUCCUGUCAUGAGGGAUGAAAUGUGGGGAUGCUAAUAGUAUCCUCACUUGACGGUACCUCAAGAGGAAGCCACGGCUAACUCUGUGCCAGCAGCCGCGGUAAUACAGAGGUGGCAAGCGUUGUUCGGAUUUACUGGGCGUAAAGGGUGCGUAGGCGGCCUUGUGUGUCAGGUGUG
rnacentral:rRNA from 1 species